AGAGUUUGAUCAUGGCUCAGGACGAACGCUGGUGGCGUGCUUAACACAUGCAAGUCGAGCGGUAAGGCCUUUCGGGGUACACGAGCGGCGAACGGGUGAGUAACACGUGGGUGAUCUGCCCUGCACUUCGGGAUAAGCCUGGGAAACUGGGUCUAAUACCGGAUAUGACCUCCUAUCGCAUGGUGGGUGGUGGAAAGAUUUAUCGGUGCAGGAUGGGCCCGCGGCCUAUCAGCUUGUUGGUGGGGUAAUGGCCUACCAAGGCGACGACGGGUAGCCGACCUGAGAGGGUGACCGGCCACACUGGGACUGAGACACGGCCCAGACUCCUACGGGAGGCAGCAGUGGGGAAUAUUGCACAAUGGGCGAAAGCCUGAUGCAGCGACGCCGCGUGAGGGAUGACGGCCUUCGGGUUGUAAACCUCUUUCAGCAGGGACGAAGCGCAAGUGACGGUACCUGCAGAAGAAGCACCGGCUAACUACGUGCCAGCAGCCGCGGUAAUACGUAGGGUGCAAGCGUUGUCCGGAAUUACUGGGCGUAAAGAGUUCGUAGGCGGUUUGUCGCGUCGUUUGUGAAAACCAGCAGCUCAACUGCUGGCUUGCAGGCGAUACGGGCAGACUUGAGUACUGCAGGGGAGACUGGAAUUCCUGGUGUAGCGGUGAAAUGCGCAGAUAUCAGGAGGAACACCGGUGGCGAAGGCGGGUCUCUGGGCAGUAACUGACGCUGAGGAACGAAAGCGUGGGUAGCGAACAGGAUUAGAUACCCUGGUAGUCCACGCCGUAAACGGUGGGCGCUAGGUGUGGGUUCCUUCCACGGAAUCCGUGCCGUAGCUAACGCAUUAAGCGCCCCGCCUGGGGAGUACGGCCGCAAGGCUAAAACUCAAAKGAAUUGACGG
rnacentral:rRNA from 1 species